rnacentral:rRNA from 1 species
GUGGUGGCGCGGGUGGUUUACUACCAUCGCUGUGUGGGAUUUAAACCCCCCACCUCUUUUCGUGGGGGGAUACUGUGUCUGGGGGGCUUUUUGACUGGGGGGGUCGCCUCAUAAAUGGUAAGGGUGGCGCUCAAUGGUUCCCUAUUAAUGUUUGUAAAUAUUUAAUUUUUUGUAAUGGAAUAUGGGUGUUUGACUGCUAGACCUACUUGUUGUGCUGGGUCUAAAUACGGAAUUUGUUUUCGGGUGGUUCGGAUUGUAUGGGCAUUCGAUCAACGUAUAAAUGCUACCCCG